rnacentral:rRNA from 1 species
CGAGGGGAGUGAAAAAGAACCUGAAACCGUGUACGUACAAGCAGUGGGAGCACGCUUAGGCGUGUGACUGCGUACCUUUUGUAUAAUGGGUCAGCGACUUAUAUUCUGUAGCAAGGUUAACCGAAUAGGGGAGCCGAAGGGAAACCGAGUCUUAACUGGGCGUUAAGUUGCAGGGUAUAGACCCGAAACCCGGUGAUCUAGCCAUGGGCAGGUUGAAGGUUGGGUAACACUAACUGGAGGACCGAACCGACUAAUGUUGAAAAAUUAGCGGAUGACUUGUGGCUGGGGGUGAAAGGCCAAUCAAACCGGGAGAUAGCUGGUUCUCCCCGAAAGCUAUUUAGGUAGCGCCUCGUGAAUUCAUCUCCGGGGGUAGAGCACUGUUUCGGCAAGGGGGUCAUCCCGACUUACCAACCCGAUGCAAACUGCGAAUACCGGAGAAUGUUAUCACGGGAGACACACGGCGGGUGCUAACGUCCGUCGUGAAGAGGGAAACAACCCAGACCGCCAGCUAAGGUCCCAAAGUCAUGGUUAAGUGGGAAACGAUGUGGGAAGGCCCAGACAGCCAGGAUGUUGGCUUAGAAGCAGCCAUCAUUUAAAGAAAGCGUAAUAGCUCACUGGUCGAGUCGGCCUGCGCGGAAGAUGUAACGGGGCUAAACCAUGCACCGAAGCUGCGGCAGCGACGCUGAUGCGUUGUUGGGUAGGGGAGCGUUCUGUAAGCCUGCGAAGGUGUGCUGUGAGGCAUGCUGGAGGUAUCAGAAGUGCGAAUGCUGACAUAAGUAACGAUAAAGCGGGUGAAAAGCCCGCUCGCCGGAAGACCAAGGGUUCCUGUCCAACGUUAAUCGGGGCAGGGUGAGUCGACCCCUAAGGCGAGGCCGAAAGGCGUAGUCGAUGGGAAACAGGUUAAUAUUCCUGUACUUGGUGUUACUGCGAAGGGGGGACGGAGAAGGCUAUGUUGGCCGGGCGACGGUUGUCCCGGUUUAAGCGUGUAGGCUGGUUUUCCAGGCAAAUCCGGAAAAUCAAGGCUGAGGCGUGAUGACGAGGCACUGCGGUGCUGAAGCAACAAAUGCCCUGCUUCCAGGAAAAGCCUCUAAGCAUCAGGUAACAUCAAAUCGUACCCCAAACCGACACAGGU